GCCCGCUCAGAAACUUAAAGGAAUUGACGGGGCCCGGCACAAGCGGUGGAGUAUGUGGUUAAUUCGAUGCAACGCGAAGAACCUUACCUGGUCUUGACAUCCCGGAGACCCUUAGGAAACUAGGGGGUGCUUCCAUCUGGAAGAAUCUGGAGACAGGUGCUGCAUGGCUGUCGUCAGCUCGUGUCGUGAGAUGUUGGGUUAAGUCCCGCAACGAGCGCAACCCUUGCCUUUAGUUGCCAGCAGUUCGGCUGGGCACUCUAAAGGGACUGCCGGUGUUAAACCGGAGGAAGGUGGGGAUGACGUCAAGUCCUCAUGGCCUUUAUGACCAGGGCUACACACGUACUACAAUGGCCGAUACAAAGGGCAGCGACACUGCGAGGUGAAGCCAAUCCCGUAAAAUCGGUCUCAGUCCGGAUUGGGGUCUGCAACUCGACUCCAUGAAGUUGGAAUCGCUAGUAAUCGUGGAUCAGCAUGCCACGGUGAAUACGUUCCCGGGCCUU
rnacentral:rRNA from 1 species